rnacentral:rRNA from 1 species
UACGAAGGUGGCAAGCGUUGUUCGGAUUUACUGGGCGUACAGGGAGCGUAGGCGGUUGGAUAAGCCCUCCGUGAAAUCUCCAGGCUUAACCUGGAAAGUGCAGAGGGGACUGUUCAGCUAGAGGAUGGGAGAGGAGCGCGGAAUUCCCGGUGUAGCGGUGAAAUGCGUAGAGAUCGGGAGGAAGGCCGGUGGCGAAGGCGGCGCUCUGGAACAUUUCUGACGCUGAGGCUCGAAAGCGUGGGGGAGCAAACAGG